GAACAGGAACAGCUUGGGCAGUAAUGGUGCCAACUUUUCCAUGUCACCUUGCCAGUGAUCUUCAGAUCUGACCUGGAGCUGCCGCCACCUGUAAGGAUGGUUGACCGAAUUUGUGAAAUACAUCACAGCUAAAACAGCUGUUGUAAUCAGACCUUGAUAAGAAUUGCUGCCAGAGACAUCCAAUCAGCCCC